UUAUUUGAGAGUUUGAUCCUGGCUCAGGAUGAACGCUGGCGGCGUGCCUAACACAUGCAAGUCGAACGAAGC
rnacentral:rRNA from 1 species